GUCUCUCUAGAGAUGGAUCAGGCAGAUUAUUAUUUGAGAUAUCAGAAUAUGGAAGAAGAAAAGAGGAAAAAAAGUAGCGGAGAUAAUGGUGGAGUUACUGGCGGAAGUGAUGGAGAUUCUAGAAGAAACAUACCAUUUGGUACUUGAUCAGGAAUCAGAAGAUUUACAUACUCUGAAAGAAGAAGGCAAAGAGGUCACUCUAGGACUAGAGGGAACUAUUCGUUCAAAUAUAGACCAGAUUGUGACUUCAAAAAACUUUCUGGCUGCAAAAAUAAAAGAUAAAUUGAAUGUCACACAA